rnacentral:rRNA from 1 species
AGAGUUUGAUCCUGGCUCAGGAUGAACGCUAGCGGCAGGCUUAACACAUGCAAGUCGAGGGGCAUCGGGAGGGAAGCUUGCUUUCCUUGCCGGCGACCGGCGCACGGGUGAGUAACACGUAUGCAACCUGCCCUCUUCAGGGGGACAACCUUCCGAAAGGGAGGCUAAUCCCGCGUAUAUCGGUUUCGGGCAUCCGAGAUCGAGGAAAGAUUCAUCGGAAGAGGAUGGGCAUGCGGCGCAUUAGCUUGACGGCGGGGUAACGGCCCACCGUGGCGACGAUGCGUAGGGGUUCUGAGAGGAAGGUCCCCCACACUGGUACUGAGACACGGACCAGACUCCUACGGGAGGCAGCAGUGAGGAAUAUUGGUCAAUGGGAGAGAUCCUGAACCAGCCAAGCCGCGUGAGGGAAGACGGCCCUAUGGGUUGUAAACCUCUUUUGUCGGAGAACAAAACCCGGGACGUGUCCCGGACUGCGUGUAUCCGAAGAAAAAGCAUCGGCUAACUCCGUGCCAGCAGCCGCGGUAAUACGGAGGAUGCGAGCGUUAUCCGGAUUUAUUGGGUUUAAAGGGUGCGUAGGCGGUCCGUUAAGUCAGCGGUAAAAUUGCGGGGCUCAACCCCGUCGAGCCGUUGAAACUGGCAGACUUGAGUUGGCGAGAAGUACGCGGAAUGCGCGGUGUAGCGGUGAAAUGCAUAGAUAUCGCGCAGAACUCCGACUGCGAAGGCAGCGUACCGGCGCCAGACUGACGCUGAGGCACGAAAGCGUGGGGAUCGAACAGGAUUAGAUACCCUGGUAGUCCACGCAGUAAACGAUGAAUGCUGGUUGUCCGGGUCGAAUGAGAUCUGGGCGGCGAAGCGAAAGCGAUAAGCAUUCCACCUGGGGAGUACGCCGGCAACGGUGAAACUCAAAGGAAUUGACGGGGGCCCGCACAAGCGGAGGAACAUGUGGUUUAACUCGAUGAUACGCGAGGAACCUUACCCGGGCUCAAACGGGAGUGGAAUGGACCAGAGACGGUUCAGCCUACGGGCCGCUUCCGAGGUGCUGCAUGGUUGUCGUCAGCUCGUGCCGUGAGGUGUCGGCUUAAGUGCCAUAACGAGCGCAGCCCCCGCCGGCAGUUGCUAACGGGCAAUGCCGAGGACUCUGCCGGGACUGCCGCCGCAAGGCGAGAGGAAGGCGGGGAUGACGUCAAAUCAGCACGGCCCUUACGUCCGGGGCGACACACGUGUUACAAUGGGCGGUACAGCGGGAAGCCAGGCGGCGACGCCGAGCGGAACCCGAAAGCCGUUCUCAGUUCGGAUCGGAGUCUGCAACCCGACUCCGUGAAGCUGGAUUCGCUAGUAAUCGCGCAUCAGCCAUGGCGCGGUGAAUACGUUCCCGGGCCUUGCACUCACCGCCCGUCA